rnacentral:rRNA from 1 species
UACGUAGGGCGCAAGCGUUGUCCGGAAUUAUUGGGCGUAAAGAGCUCGUAGGCGGCUUGUCACGUCUGCUGUGAAAUCCCGGGGCUCAACCCCGGGCGUGCAGUGGAUACGGGCUGGCUAGAGGCAGGCAGGGGAGAACGGAAUUCCCGGUGUAGCGGUGAAAUGCGCAGAUAUCGAGAGGAACACCUGCGGCGAAGGCGGGUUGCUGGGCUGACACUGACGCUGACAGCGCGAAAGCUAGGGGAGCGAACGGG